UACGUAGGGGGCGAGCGUUGUCCGGAAUGAUUGGGCGUAAAGGGCGCGCAGGCGGCCUGUCAAGUCAGUAGUGGAAGUCCAUUUUUCAAGGAUGGAAGUGCUAUAGAAACUGAUGGGCUUGAGUGCAGGAGAGGUUAUCAGAAUUCCCGGUGUAGCGGUGAAAUGCGUAGAGAUCGGGAGGAACACCAGUGGCGAAGGCGGGUAACUGGACUGCAACUGACGCUGAGGCGCGAAAGUGUGGGGAGCAAACAGGAUUAGAUA
rnacentral:rRNA from 1 species